rnacentral:rRNA from 1 species
GACGAACGCUGGCGGCGUGCUUAACACAUGCACGUCGAACGGAAAGGCCCUGCUUUUGUGGGGUGCUCGAGUGGCGAACGGGUGAGUAACACGUGAGUAACCUGCCCUUGACUUUGGGAUAACUUCAGGAAACUGGGGCUAAUACCGGAUAGGAGCUCCUGCUGCAUGGUGGGGGUUGGAAAGUUUCGGCGGUUGGGGAUGGACUCGCGGCUUAUCAGCUUGUUGGUGGGGUAGUGGCUUACCAAGGCUUUGACGGGUAGCCGGCCUGAGAGGGUGACCGGCCACAUUGGGACUGAGAUACGGCCCAGACUCCUACGGGAGGCAGCAGUGGGGAAUAUUGCACAAUGGGCGGAAGCCUGAUGCAGCAACGCCGCGUGCGGGAUGACGGCCUUCGGGUUGUAAACCGCUUUCGCCUGUGACGAAGUGUGAGUGACGGUAAUGGGUAAAGAAGCACCGGCUAACUACGUG